rnacentral:lncRNA from 1 species
CUACUGGUGGUUGAAAACACAAGAAUAAAAGCAUACAGAAAGAGGACCUUAAGAAAAAAACAAUCCAGCAAGACUUUCAAAAGACAGAAUUAGUGACAUCAUUAGUGAUAUUACUGGAACCCAUCUGCAGCCAGAAUCUACUCCACUCCUCCACCCAACUGCCCAAAGCUGGAUGGUGAGCAAGACAUUCCAACCAGCCAGUGUGAAAUCUUCACCCUCUCUAGUCUCCAGUCCAUCCAGCACCUCACUUUCGAUGGGUUUGGUGGAGGAAAAGAAAAAUAAAAUACAUCUGGCCAGUUUUGCCCAGAGUCACUGUAAGGUGAUCAUCAGGGAGGCAAGAGGAAGCAGAAGGCCCUGUUAUGUGCCAGAGAGAAUGAAGGGCAUGCUGUAAACAGUAUCUAUGUGCCAAAUGCUACUGAAUCUUUCAACAGAUCAUUGAGCAGUCAACAGCUCUGGUCUGGAAAUACACUGACUGUUUGUAGAGAAAAGUCCACAACCAAACUGGUCCUUUGGAUAUCUGGCUGCUAUGAUUUUGGAAAAAAAAAAAAUAUCUCACAGCAUUAGUACAUUUAUAUACAUAAGGGAAGCAAAUUAUCUGCUGAAAUUCAUGACACUACACAUUAAAUUUAAAAACUAAAGCUUUUUACACAUAAGUUCCUCCAAAACAUUUUGUCCUCUAACAUCAACAGCAACAGAAGAAGCUGGUGGCUGGUGUGAGAAUCUUAAUUGAAGUGACAGCAAGACUUUGCCAGUUAAGUAUAUUUUUAUGUCAAGAAGAAAAAAUAGAAAAUGUCAAAAUAUACCUAAAAGUAACUACAAGCAUGUAAGCUAAUAAAAUUAGUUUGCCCUUCA